AUACUUACCUGGCAGGGGAGAUAACAUGAUCACGAAGGUGGUUUUCCCAGGGUGAGGCUUAUCCAUUGCACUCCAGAUGUGCUGACCCCUGCGAUUGCCCCAACGUGGGAAACUCGACUGCAUAAUUUGUGGUAGUGGGGGACUGCAUUCGCGCUCUCCCCUG
rnacentral:snRNA from 1 species